GGGGGGAAGAACCUGACUGCAUAUCAGCUACAGCUUUUGGAAGAAUUACCGGGAUACUAGUGACUAUUAUAUAAGCAUUAGUCACCGUCCUAGUAUUACAGUAUAUCAGAGUUGGAGGAAAGACAAUAGACGGGAAAACAAGUGAAAACAGCAGUCAACGAAAUCCUACAUAUGUCAACGAUAUCGAUCAAACCUACGAAGUGCUGAAAGCUAACAGAGAGAGGUAAUAUUCUACCCAACUUUGGCUUAUGGAAUUACACAAAUAAAAAGAUACAUGUAGAUAAUAAAAAAGAUAAGAUAAUAAGAACAUUAAGAAGGAUAUAUUUAUUAAGCAUUCUAGAUACAGAUUCAUUUAUGAUAUCUUAAUUUCUAAUUGACUCUUAUAUAUGAAGUAAAGACACACGUAUGAGAUACUUAUUAUGAAGUCGAGAUCCACAAGGAGUGGUUUUCUUGAAAAUAUUUCUUUAAUAUUACAGUUUUUCUUUUCAAUGUAUAAAGCAAUUCGUUACAAUUAAUUCAAACAGCAAUUAAUUUUGUGUUUCUUUUUUUCAGACUAUAGAAAAAUCUCAUGUAAGAAUUCUGUUCUUACUGAUGUUGAUUUGCAUUGGUUUUGUGGUUAUGCAAUGAAUGUUAUUUUUUUCUUCAGGCGCUUGGAUUUCAGAUUUUGGUACCUUAGCUGUAAUAUAUUUUGAUUGCAUUUCUUUUUUAUAAAGUUAUAUGGCCCAUAAUUUGCAUAUUUUUGCGCUGUGGAUAAUUUUGUAGUUCAUGUUUCGUGUACAGAUUACUAACAUGAAAAACAUCAAUCAUCUUUACUAUUUGUUUAGUUCCUUCACAAGAGUAUGUUGAUAAAGCAGAUUUCGUUCAAAAUGUUGAUGGUGAUAUUUGUACUUAAAAAGUUGCUUUUAAUUCAUAUACUAGUAUACACUGUAAAAUAAAUCUUUAAUACUUAGUACAUAACAAAUAUUAUGUAUGAAGUAAGUAAACUAUGCUAUGAA